rnacentral:rRNA from 1 species
GUGGGGAAUCUUGCGCAAUGGGCGAAAGCCUGACGCAGCCAUGCCGCGUGGAUGAUGAAGGUCUUAGGAUUGUAAAAUCCUUUCACCGGUGAAGAUAAUGACUGUAGCCGGAGAAGAAGCCCCGGCUAACUUCGUGCCAGCAGCCGCGGUAAUACGAAGGGGGCUAGCGUUGCUCGGAUUUACUGGGCGUAAAGGGCGCGUAGGCGGACAGCUUAGUCAGAGGUGAAAGCCCAGGGCUCAACCUUGGAAUUGCCUUUGAUACUGGCUGUCUUGAGUUUGGGAGAGGUGAGUGGAACUCCGAGUGUAGAGGUGAAAUUCGUAGAUAUUCGGAAGAACACCAGUGGCGAAGGCGACUCACUGGCCCGUUACUGACGCUGAGGCGCGAAAGCGUGGGGAGCAAACAGGAUUAGAUACCCCAGUAGUCC